CCUACGGGGGGCAGCAGUGAGGAAUAUUGGUCAAUGGCCGCAGGGCUGAACCAGCCAAGUCGCGUGAGGGAUGACGGUCCUAUGGAUUGUAAACCUCUUUUGUCAGGGAGCAAAGGGCGCCACGUGUGGCUUUUUGCGAGUACCUGAAGAAAAAGCAUCGGCUAAAUCCGUGCCAGAAGCCGCGGUAAUACGGAGGAUGCGGGCGUUAUCCGGAUUUAUUGGGUUUAAAGGGUGCGUAGGCGGAAUGUCAAGUAAGUGGUAAAAUUUCGGGGCGCAACCCCGUCGUGCCGUUGAAACUGGCGUUCUUGAGUGAGCGAGAGGUAUGCGGAAUGCGUGGUGUAGCGGUGAAAUGCAUAGAUAUCACGCAGAACUCCGAUUGCGAAGGCAGCUUACUAAACUAUAACUGACACUGAAGCACGAAAGCGUGGGGAUCAAACAGGAUUAGAUACCCCAGUAGUC
rnacentral:rRNA from 1 species